CCAGAACUCUGUUAUUUUCAGAGAGAUAGAAUAUCAAACGUUUUUGUGUCUAACAAAAGUUCACAGUAGGGAGAAAUCUGGACUACACAAGGAAAAUCUACACCAUUAACACUUCAUGAUUGUGAUGUUUAAUGUUUGUCAAUCUUUUUAUUCUAUAACAUUUGCAAACUCUCUCCUUGAUGACUUGAAGUAUCUGCCUGUCUGGCAGCAGACAAAGUAACAUAUGACUAUAUAUGGCUUAAUAAAUCAGUUCUGGUUCUGGCCGGAACUUUUUUCCAGUUCCGGCCACAUCCUGUUCCGGCCGGAACUUAAAAAAUUGGUUCCAGUGCACCCCU